GACGAACGCUGGCGGCGUGCUUAACACAUGCAAGUCGAACGGAAAGGCCCUGCUUUUGUGGGGUGCUCGAGUGGCGAACGGGUGAGUAACACGUGAGUAACCUGCCCUUGACUUUGGGAUAACUUCAGGAAACUGGGGCUAAUACCGGAUAGGAGCUCCUGCUGCAUGGUGGGGGUUGGAAAGUUUCGGCGGUUGGGGAUGGACUCGCGGCUUAUCAGCUUGUUGGUGGGGGAGUGGCGUACCAAGGCUUUGACGGGUAGCCGGCCUGAGAGGGUGACCGGCCACAUUGGGACUGAGAUACGGCCCAGACUCCUACGGGAGGCAGCAGUGGGGAAUAUUGCACAAUGGGCGGAAGCCUGAUGCAGCAACGCCGCGUGCGGGAUGACGGCCUUCGGGUUGUAAACCGCUUUCGCCUGUGACGAAGCGUGAGUGACGGUAAUGGGUAAAGAAGCACCGGCUAACUACGUG
rnacentral:rRNA from 1 species